rnacentral:rRNA from 1 species
AGUAAGGGCGACUGAAAGGGGAUCAGCCCAGCGCAUAACCUCCCGGUCGCAUGUUGGCCGCGGAGGGGUGUUGCGUUUCGGUGGAUCCGUACCGCUCGAGUUGCUGACCGCCUAAGUCAUUGCUUGAAUGCAGCCCCGAGGAGGGUGGUAGGCCCGUGUGGCGGCGCCUGUAAAAAGGUUUGAGGCAACUUGGGCGGAGGGGUCUUUACCGUAGAGUCGGGUUGCUUAGUACUGCAGCCCUAAGUAGGUGGUAAACUCCAUCUAAGGCUAAAUACUACCACGAGUCCGAUAUUUGACAAGUACCGUGAGGGAAAGCUGAAAAGGACUCUGAAGAGAGAGUUCAAGAGGACGUGAAACCAUUAGAAGCUGAAACGGGUGGAACUGUGAAGGUGGAAAGAGGGCAUUCAGGCCUUAGGGUGGCCAUCCCUGGCAAGGUUGGCUAGACAGGGAGGACCCGGCGUUACAGUUAAUUGCCGCGGCCCCUUGUCGGGUUAGUUGGUGAGCUUGAGGCUUUAUUUGUCCCUCGAGUACUGGUUGUGGCGACCCGCUGUUUGGAGCCCGAAGUCCUCUCCGGACUGGUAUGCUGCACCUUUGGUGUAGUUGAUGACCGGAUGGGGUUACUGUUUGGUUAAGAAGGGCGGUCACUGCAAGGAGGUUACGCAAGUAGCCUCUCGCCAUGUGAGAGUGAUCGGUAAUCCACCCGACCCGUCUUGAAACACGGACCAAGGAGUCCAACAUGUGCGCGAGUCUAAGGUUUUUCUAAAGCCGUAGGCGAAAUGAAAGUGAGAAGCCCCGGCUUGCUCGUGGGUAGGCCGAUCCCCUGCUGCUGGCGGAUGGAUGCCUUUAGGCGUGAACGCCUUUCCGCUCUUUAGGCGACCGUCCGUUUAGUGGCGUCGUUGGUGACGACGAUUUAUAGGGGCGCAGGCCGAGGACUUGCCGUUGUGCGGCGCGGGCAACGGGGAGUGGCUCUCUAGGGGGUUGCUUCCUGAUCCCGAUGUCCGCCGGCAAGUACCUGAGAGCGCAGCCGUUGGGACCCGAAAGAUGGUGAACUAUGCCUGGCGAGGACGAAGCCAGAGGAAACUCUGGUGGAGGUCCGAAGCAGUUCUGACGUGCAAAUCGAUUGUCAGAGCUGGGUAUAGGGGCGAAAGACUAAUCGAACCAUCUAGUAGCUGGUUCCCUCCGAAGUUUCCCUCAGGAUAGCUGGCAUUGGAUGGAAUGAGUUUCAUCCGGUAAAGCGAAUGAUUAGAAGCCUUGGUGGUGCAAUGCCGUCAACUUAUUCUCAAACUUUAAAUGGGUGAGACGUGGAGCUUGCUUGAGCAAGAAAUGAUGAAGCUUUAUGAAUUAGAAUCAGAGUGCCUAGUGGGCCAYUUUUGGUAAGCAGAACUGGCGCUGYGGAUGAACCAACAGGUGGUUUAGGUGCCAAACAUUUCGCUCAUGAGAUACCACAAAAGGUGUUGGUUGAUAUUGACAGCAGGUACGGUGGCCAUGGAAGUUGGAAUCCGCUAAGGAGUGUGUAACAACUCACCUGCCGAAUCAACCAGCCCUGAAAAUGGAUGGCGCUUGAGCGAUCGACCUAGACCACGCUGUUAUCGCGAUUGUGCAUGGAUGCGAUAACAAGUAGAAGGGCGACAUGGUUGCGUUGAAGCUACGGCCGUAAGGCUGGGUGGAGCGACUAUGUGUGCAGAUCUUGGUGGUAGUAGCAAGUAUUCAAGUGAGAACCUUGAAGACUGAUGUGGAGAAGGGUUCCAUGUGAACAGCAGUUGAACAUGGGUUAGCCGGUCCUAAGUGAUCCGGUAACUCGUUACGCAGCGAGAGGUGUACGAUACUGUCGGCGACAUAUCUACUAAUAUGCCAAAGAGCAACCUCUCAGAGCGAAAGGGAAUCGGGUUAAUAUUCCCGAGCCAGCCUGUGGAAAUUUACCUUCGGGUAAAGUGCGGUAACGCAAUCGAGCUUG